CCUUUGCUCAUUCCUAGACACACCAAUUCACAGAGAGAGUAAAAUAUUUAGAGAGCUGUGAGGUUUCCAUAGACUAUAUAAGAAAAUAGUCUGUGAAGAAAAAUAGAGUGUGAGCGAUAUUUUAGUAAGGUGGAAAUCAAAAGAGUGUUAUUCUUUUUGAGUGUGUUGUAGUCACUUUGAGUAUUGUAUUCGUGACUACACAGUGUAAAAUUCCUUACUAUAGUGAUAUCAGUUGCUCCUCUUGGCCCGUGGUUUUUCCCUUAUUUAGAAGGGUUUCCACGUAAAAUUCUUGGUGUCAUUAUUUUCCCAUUUUAUUUCCAUUACUUUUACCAUAUAUAUUUUUGUGCUUGUCCGUGUUUUCCCAACACUCAUUGGGUGUUAGAGGUAACCACUGUGCAAGCAUUGUUCUUGGGGUACUUGGUGGUAUAUAGCCAAGAGAUGCUGUAUGAUGCUGGCUUUGGAGAAAUUAACUUUGUCGAUCGCACACUCACUGUCUUCUUCCAUUUACCGGCUAUAGUGGUCCAUGCCGCAAGACUAUACUGAGGUGCAGAAAUUGAGUAACUCAGAUGUACUUGGAACUAUAGAAUAAAUAGCGAGUAGAAUGCAGAUGGUGAACUGUAAAUCAUGAAAUGUAUUUCUUUGUCGCUACACUUUACUGAUUGAAUUUGAAAUUCGUUAGUCUGAUCACUGAUGAAAAGUGCUUUGUAUAUAUUCCUUAGCAAAUAAUUGUAUAUUCUACAUGUCGA